rnacentral:autocatalytically_spliced_intron from 18 species
CUGUUAUUGGAGGAUAUUGAAGUCAUGCGAUGGGGUUUAUACUUUUAUUUGCCAAAACGGGACCUCUGUUGAGGUAUAGAUCUCGCAAGAGGUUGAAUAUUCCGUACUAAGGAUCUCUGAUCCGGAAAGUCUAGAGACUACACGGCAAAGCCAUAGUGGCUAGUAUAAAUGGAUAGUCCCUAGUUAACCAUCUAGGCAUCCCAUACAAAAUGGUUU